GGAAGUAAAAGUUGUAACAAGGUUUCCGUAGGUGAACCUGCGGAAGGAUCAUUAAUGAGAACUAAGGGUAGUAGUCUCGGCUACUACUCUGAACACUCCACCCUUUGUUUAUAUUACCUUUGUUGCUUUAGCAGGCCCGCUCUCGAGCCGCCGGCACCUGCUGGCUAGUGCCUGCUAAAGAACCUAAAACUCUUGUUAAUAAUAUUGUCUGAGUACUAUAUAAUAGUUAAAACUUUCAACAACGGAUCUCUUGGUUCCG
rnacentral:misc_RNA from 1 species